AUACUUGUUUCAGCAGCAUAUAUACUACAGUGGAAACAAUAAGACAAAAUUAGCAUGGCUCUUAUACAGUAUGACACAUAUAUUUGUGAAGCUAUCCAUGUUUUU